rnacentral:rRNA from 1 species
CCUACGGGGGGCUGCAGUGGGGAAUAUUGGACAAUGGGGGGAACCCUGAUCCAGCCAUGCCGCGUGUGUGAAGAAGGCCCUCGGGUUGUAAAGCACUUUCAGUGAGGAAGAACGCCUGGUGGUUAAUACCCAUCAGGAAAGACAUCACUCACAGAAGAAGCACCGGCUAACUCCGUGCCAGCAGCCGCGGUAAUACGGAGGGUGCGAGCGUUAAUCGGAAUUACUGGGCGUAAAGCGCGCGUAGGUGGCUUGAUAAGCCGGUUGUGAAAGCCCCGGGCUCAACCUGGGAACGGCAUCCGGAACUGUCAAGCUAGAGUGCAGGAGAGGAAGGUAGAAUUCCCGGUGUAGCGGUGAAAUGCGUAGAGAUCGGGAGGAAUACCAGUGGCGAAGGCGGCCUUCUGGACUGACACUGACACUGAGGUGCGAAAGCGUGGGUAGCAAACAGGAUUAGAUACCCAAGUAGUC